GACCUUGGCUCAGUGGUUCAGCACCUACUUGGCAUGCAGAAGCUCCCGGGUUCAAUUCCCAGCAGCAUCC
rnacentral:tRNA from 1 species